CAUGUCAUCUUUUACGCAUUAUGAAGGACAGGCUUAAGAUUGUCGCAGCGAAAACUUUCGCUGAAUAUGGAAAAACAACAAAGCCAGUAUUCUUCUAUGUGUAUAACGGUUUUAUAUAUAAUACUGCAAUGGCUCUGAGUUACAAGUUCAUUGCACUUAUUCGUAGUUACGUUUAAUGGUAACUAGCGGAUGCACGUUACUCUCUAGUGUGUGAUUUCCUCUGUUCUAAGAGGUCGCGCUGCGGGAAAAAAAACCCACUAAGGCCCUUUCUGCUCAGAUGCUAAACUUCUGCACAGGUUCUUGUACAACGCUUAUAACUAUGUUCGAAUUUGUGGCAACAUGCCGUUUGCGAAGCAGAGCAACUUCAAGUACGGAAACCAAUCCACAUAGCCAAGAGACGUUCUAGCGAAGUGCAAGUGACAGUUCCCUCUCUCCUGUCUUCAUUUCUAAACUUCGCCGCCUCCGUUUUCGUCGGCUUUACGGUACGUUCCAAAUUUGUGACUGUUGCGUGGAGCAGAGCCAGAGUUUGCUGCACUUGGAAUUUGUUCGGCCGAUAGGUCAUCUGCAUAGAAGACUUCCUCGGCCCUGUUAUUUGAUCAGGGAGACCCUUCGUCAGGGCGAAAAAAGAGUGAGCUCAGGUUGUGCCCCCGAGCCAGACCAAAUAUUUGUUUGAAAAGCGAAAGUUUGGCUACUUCGUCGUCGAUGUUGAGUUUGGUGUCCUAUAGAGUGCACGACAAAAAAGAAUUGUACGUAUUCAUAGGAACACCCAAUUCGAUCAGCGUGAACAUGACCUUGUUCCCGGGCGCCAGGUCCAAGGCUACGUUGGAAUCGACAGCCACCGUACACGCUGGAUUGUGCGGCGUGGCCAGUGCUGUCCACACAAGGAUCCUGCACGCCGUUUCUGUGAGCGUUCUUUCUGGAACUCGUGUUGUUCCUUUGGGAUGGCGUGUACAUUUGUAUAAGCGGACCCGGCUGCCAAAGGUUUAGUGAUGCGACGUUCAGUGGCAGAGUGAAACGCACGUCUGACAACGAGCUGAAGAGACGAACAAUAACUGAGAAGGCUGUUGGCGGUAAUAAAAAACACCUUACCAAUGCAAGAGGCCAGCGUACCAUCGUUGAUAACAAAUCGCACCCACGAGCGGCUCCGCCCUACGUCAGUUAUCACUUGAUCAAGAGCGUUUAUUGUUUCAAGGCCUUCACGAUGGGUUACGGUGCGAACUAGACUCCAGAAAUCCGGACGGGGCAGGUGGUAUGUGAAAUUCGAUGCUGAAUUCGAUUAGCUCCAUAAAAUUCAAUAAAACUGGUGUCUUGGUAUCAAGAUGAACACAUGAAAUCUUAUGUCAAAAAUGGUACCCUCGCUCAUAAAUUUAUUAAUUUCAGGCGUUUUCUUGCAAUACUGUUUCAUAGUGUCAUUGGAGUAUCUGAAAUCUUGUUUGUAUACAAACUAUUUACUCAGCUGUUUAACCUAUAUGUUAGACACUUAGUACAAGG